CCUUUAAAGAAAGAAAAGGGGACAGGGUCUCUCAAUGAGCUGGAACUCCCUGAGGAGGCUAGGUUGCUGGCCAGCAAGCCCAAUCUGCCUCCUUCUCUAAAGAAGAACAUCAUGCAUUGUUUUUGUUUUGUUCUGACUUUGUCUUUAAUGUAAGUUUGAUGCCUAAACACAGGUACUCAAAGCUUGUGUAGCAAGUACUUCAACAACUGACCUCUUUCUCCAGCCCCCUUCUUAAAGUUAAAAAAAGAAGAAGAGAAAUUAUUAAGUAUCUUUUAUAAUGUAAAGAAAAAUUAAAGGUGGGAUGUGAAAGAAAAAAAUUAGGAGGGACAGAUUUCCUUCAGAAAGCUAAUCAUGAACAGAGAGAUAUGCUCCCUAAAAUCAGGGACCAAAAAACAUUAAAAGCAGAGGCAGGCGGACCUCCGAGUACAAGGCAGCCUACUCUACAAGGUGAGUUCCAGGUCAGCCAGGGCUACACAGAGAAACCCUGUCUUGAAAAAAAACAAAAAGAAAGAGAAAAAAUGAGAACAAAAACAUGUAAAACAAUAAUAAACUGCCUGCAAUAACUAAAAUUCACUUAUAUAAAACAGAGACAGAGGCAGGGGUGGAGGGGAAGAUCACUGAACUGCUCACCUUUCAGAACAGGAAACAAAGACAUACUAAUAACCAUAGAGCUUUAAAAUUAAAACUAUCUUUGGAGAUCUCUAAAGAAGAUCGAAAUAUUCCCACAUUCCAAACUCCUUAAAUGGUCAGAAAGAGUUAGUAUCUUGUAUUACUUUUGUGAUUUAAAAUUCUAAAGUUAAAAAUCUGAAUGGUAGCAUUAGAGAUGGCUCCACAGUUGAGAGCUGACUGUUUCUGCGGAGGAUCUGAAUUUGGUUCCCACAGAGCAGUUUCCAAGUUCCAGGGGCUCCUGUGCACAAAUGAUCCGCAUCCAGACUCCAAGGUACACACAUACAUAAAACUAACUCUUCUAAAGACGGGAAUAUGGAGGAGCUGGAAAAUGGUUUAAAACACUUGAUCUUCUUGCCAAGGAUCUUGCAUCGGUUCCGAGCUCCCUCGGGGCAGCUUACAACCAUUAACUAGCUUCUAGGGGAUCUGGGAGAUCUAGUGUCCCACAGCAGCACAUACACACAUGCAGGCAAAAUAUUCAUAUACAUAAAAUAAAAAUAAGGUAUUCUAAUUAAAUAAGGAGAUUAUCUAAAAGAACCUUCUGAAAUACUAUUAAUGGCUUCAAAAGACAAUUUAUCUUCCAGGGUGUAAUUACACACUCUGAUGUUAUAAAUUUAAAAGUUAAAUUUCCAUGAGUAGACACAAGUAUAAAAGCACAGAGAAACUUAGAAUGGACCUUGUCUUAGUGAAGCCAUGCAUGGUAGAGCAUACGUGUAAUGUAAGAGACUUGCACUCCAGGUCAUCCUGGUGUGUGUCCCACACCAGUCACUUUACCAAGUGAACUCUUGCCAUCUUCCAAUCUCGUGCUGCUCCCCCAUAAAAACAAAACAAAAACCCUGUGUCCUAGCAAAAUACAAGGAUUUUGCUUUAACUCCAGAACAUGUAACUGAGGCAGGAGAUUCAUGAGUUCAAGGAACGUGGGAAUGGGAGAUGGGGAGUGUGGGGGAGUGUGUAUCUGAGUGUAUGGUAGCCACAUGCUACAAAAUGUUAAACAGCAGUCAGACAGAGACCGAGAAGGAAGGAUAGAGAAAGAUGAGCAUGAGAUAUUUUACUGUUACAUUUCCAGUUUAAAUUUUCAACAAAUCCUUACUACUUUUUAAAAAGUAGAAAUUUUUAGGAAAAACUACUUCUACAUUAAUCCACCCAGUUCUUUCCCAGUGCCCCACCCUGUAUUUCUCAAACACCAGUGGUGUUUGAAUGAACCUUACAUCUGUCCAAUUCUAACUUCCAUUGGAUGCACAAAACAGUCUAUUUGUUACUGUGCGUGACUGAAGGGGAAAUGAACCUUACACUGUACUUGGUCUUCUGCUGGGCUGUUUAGGAAACAGAGCUACUCAUUAAAACCAAAUUACAAGUGAGAUUCCACACAGGUCAGUAAUGUCUGUCCUUAUUGUCAUCCACUGUGAAUUUCCCAACCUUCCAGGAAGACUUGCCAACACCACAGAAGAUCCAUUUCACCGGGGAGAAUGAAAACUUUGUACAGCAUACACCAAGCAGGGUCCAUCAGUUUGACUGUUUCCUCACGUAGGAAAUUCUAUAACCAGAUUAUGCAUCUUUUAUGAGGUAAGCACGCAGACAUCACAUGAUCAAGGUGCCCCAGUG
rnacentral:lncRNA from 1 species